GCAACUUCUAGCAGAAAAGGGUGUCAUCCGAGUAGCUAACACUGGGAUCCAGGAAACUUGAUUACAAAUAAAUAUGCUGUUUUAAUGAAUUUGUGUAAUAGAAGCUAGAUUCCAGUGUCAGCUACUUUCAUGACAUCAUCUACUAUGUAAAUU
rnacentral:ncRNA from 14 species